rnacentral:rRNA from 1 species
CUCCUACGGGAGGCAGCAGUAGGGAAUAUUGGGCAAGUGGGGGCAACCUGACCCAGCCAUGCCGCGUAGAAGGAAGAAGGCCCUCUGGGUUGUAAACUUCUUUUGUAUGGGGCUAAGAUGGUAUAAGAAUAUAUUAUUUGAAGGUACCAUAAGAAUAAGCCACGGCUAACUACGUGCCAGCAGCCGCGGUAAUACGUAGGUGGCAAGCGUUGUCCGGAUUUACUGGGUUUAAAGGGUGCGUAGGCGGGAUUAUAAGUCAGUGGUGAAAUUCGGUUGCUUAACGAUACGAGUGCCAUUGAUACUGUAGUUCUAGAGUAAAGUUAAGGUAUGUGGAACGACUGGUGUAGCGGUGAAAUGCAUAGAUAUCAGUCAGAACACCGAUUGCGAAGGCAGCGUACUGAGCUUUUACUGACGCUGAGGCACGAAAGUGCGGGUAUCAAACAGGAUUAGAUACCCUGGUAGUCCGCACUGUAAACGUUGGAUACUAGCUGUUGGGGC